GGGUGAUUAGCUCAGAUUAGCUCAGUUGGUAGAGCAUCUCCUUUACACGGAGGGGGUCGGCGGUUCGAGCCCGUCAUCACCCACCA
rnacentral:tRNA from 1 species